CCAAUAGCGUAUAUUAAAGUUGUUGCAGUUAAAAAGCUCGUAGUUGAACUUCGGGAUUUGCUCAUUGGUCAGGCUUCACUGUCUGUACUGGUGUAACGAAUUCCUACCUUCUGAUGAAUCUUCAUGCCAUUCAUUUGGUGCGUAGGGGAAUCAGGACUGUUACUUUGAAAAAAUUAGAGUGUUAAAGCAGGCUAUUGCUCGAAUACAUUAGCAUGGAAUAAUAGAAUAGGACGGUUGGUUCUAUUUUGUUGGUUUCUAGGAUCACCGUAAUGAUUAAUAGGGAUAGUUGGGGGCAUUAGUAUUCAAUUGUCAGAGGUGAAAUUCUUGGAUUUAUUGAAGACUAACUACUGCGAAAGCAUUUGCCAAGGAUGUUUUCAUUAAUCAAGAACGAAAGUUAGGGGAUCGAAGACGAUCAGAUACCGUCGUAGUCUUAACCAUAAACUAUGCCGACUAGGGAUCGGACGAAGUUAAUUUUUAAAUGACUCGUUCGGCACCUUACG
rnacentral:rRNA from 1 species